ensembl:snoRNA SNORD58 Small nucleolar RNA SNORD58
CUGCAGUGAUGUGUUUCUUAGGACACCUUUGGAUCUUCUGUGAAAAUAAACCGAUUCUGAGCAGC